AGUCUGCUGAGCAACAGUGUGAACCGGCAGAGAGCCCUGGAGCUGCUUCACAGAUUAAAAAUGCUGUAGAAAUCAAGGCUACUCCAAUCCCAGUUAUAAAUGAGGAAGUAUCCACUCCUGUUGAAGCCAUUCUAGAGCCAGUUAAAGAAUUCAUUGAACAUCAAAAAAUGAAUGAGUUAUCAGGUUCCCAAGAUGCAAACACCAAAUAUCCAGACUAUGGUCCUUACAGUCCUAUAAGUCCUCCAGAAAAUACUGUUGUUGUUCUUCCACCAGAAGUGAAAAAUCGAACCAUAGCUGAAGCCAUUCCUGUACCUGAUAGUACGGCAGAAAACAUCACAGGUCUUCAUGAGGAUGGUCCUCCAGUUCUCACUGCAGUGACAAUGCUCCUUGAUGAUACAGGGGCUACUUUAAGUGAAAGUGAGACUGCCACUUCUUCUAAAAUUGUGCAUGAGAGUACGGAGGUGCCAGUGCUGUCACCAAGACCUGAUGAGACAUCACCGGAAAUGCACGCAGCUGUUGAUGUUCUAGUCCCUGAGCUUAUGCCCCCAAGUGAUGCAAGUUGCCAGCUUUCAUUUAACUGCAGCAUUUGCAAAAAAGAAACCAAAUACAAAUACAUUCUACGGCAUGCGAUGUGGCAUCAUCGGAUUGACAGAAAGUGCAUGUUCUGUCACAAACGCUACACUCAUGGGCGCAGCCCGUCAGUCCAUUUUAAAGUGCACAUACAGGAGCUGAAAAAGUCUAAUGGGCUUUUUAAUGAAAAUAUUUGUGAGAAUGCCACUGAGACCACCUUGAGAUGUGCCCAGACAAGACUGUUUAAACGUGUGAAUCCUGCCGUGCAGCAUAGGUUUAGAAACAUCAAAAUGAGGUUAAACUGUACUUUGAACAUCACAAAUUUGCACAGGGAAGGGCAAAUUUCAGAGCCUAGGGAGAGAUUGCGGGCAAGGUUAGUUAAGGAUUCAGAUCCCUCAAGUACAUCGGAAGAACAAAAGAAGAAAGUUUGCAAGAUGAAAAGAAAACGUAUAAGGAGUGCUUUAGCAAAGAGAUCUCAGUCCAUAGAUGAGAACAAAAAGUUUUUCAGAAUGGGCCUAGCAAGGAAGAGAGCAAAGACUAUGCAGACACUAAUUCCAGAUGACAACCAUUCAGAUAUCAAUGGCAACUUGGCUCAUAAGGUAAAUGGAGUGACCAGAAAGAGAAGAAAAUUGAAGAGUGAGCCUGAGACGAAUACCCCUGAUGAAAAGGUUCAGACAUCAUUACCACAGGACAGCAAAGUGAAAAUCGAGAGUGUAGAAUGUCAGAAAGAUAAUGUCAAGACUGAACCUGAGAAUACAGAAGUAACAAAAGACAAGAGGAAAUCAAAAAAGAAAAGAAAAGAUGAAAUGCUGGACUCUGGGCUGAAAAAGAAGAAGAUUACUCCUGGAGAUCAAAAAGAGGAUGGAGAAGAUAUAAAGAGGAGGAAGAUCACAAAUAGCCUGGAAGGCAGUUCUGAGAAUCAGGAACCAAAAGACAAUAAUGCUGAAUUUAAGGAAAUAAAUCCAAUGGGGCAUACAAAUGGGACUCAGCCAAAACCCAAAAAGUCAUCCACACCAUUCCAGGGAAAAAGAACUGGAGCAUCUACACAUGUCAGAUGCCCUGUGGAGAUAU
ensembl:lncRNA